UGUGAUUGAGACGAGUCCAUAUCUUCUUCAGGCGAAGCCUCCACCACUCCAAAAGAACUGAAUGCAGGUUUCCGAUGCAUCAAUCUCAGUGCACUAGACAAUAUCAUGUUGGAGGGUACAGACAGUGCCGCCAUGUUUGGAUGGAGGAGACCCAGGUCUGUUAUUGUUCUCGAUACACA
rnacentral:pre_miRNA from 1 species